ensembl:lncRNA
CCCACCCUGACUACGCCUCGAUAUCCUGUCCAUAAAAGUUACAAACAGGAGUGGUGACAAAGCGCAGCCCUGGCGGAGGCCAACCCCCACCUGGAACGAGUCCUACUUACUACUGAGAACUCGAACACAGCUCUCACUUUGGACGUACAUGGAUUGGAUAGCCCUCAAAAGAAUCCAUCAGAAGAGACCAGUUUCCUCUGUUCCCAGCUGUCUGUCCAUGAAGACUGAUCAGUCUAUGGAACCUCCCAUUUUGUUUAAAGACAGAUGUUCUCACUGAAGAAAG